rnacentral:rRNA from 1 species
GACGAACGCUGGCGGCGUGCCUAAUACAUGCAAGUAGAACGCUGAAGGAGGAGCUUGCUUCUCUGGAUGAGUUGCGAACGGGUGAGUAACGCGUAGGUAACCUGCCUGGUAGCGGGGGAUAACUAUUGGAAACGAUAGCUAAUACCGCAUAAUAGUAGAUGUCGCAUGACAUUUGCUUAAAAGGUGCAAUUGCAUCACUACCAGAUGGACCUGCGUUGUAUUAGCUAGUUGGUGAGGUAACGGCUCACCAAGGCAACGAUACAUAGCCGACCUGAGAGGGUGAUCGGCCACACUGGGACUGAGACACGGCCCAGACUCCUACGGGAGGCAGCAGUAGGGAAUCUUCGGCAAUGGACGGAAGUCUGACCGAGCAACGCCGCGUGAGUGAAGAAGGUUUUCAGAUCGUAAAGCUCUGUUGUAAGAGAAGAACGAGUGUGAGAGUGGAAAGUUCACACUGUGACGGUAUCUUACCAGAAAGGGACGGCUAACUACGUG